ensembl:lincRNA
CAGAAACUGGGGGACCCAAAGAGCAGGAAAGUCAGCCCAGACCUGGCCCGAGUCCACAGGAGCUGCUGCCCACUUGCAAAUGAAUCACAGUCACUUCCCCAAAGUUUUCCACCCGGACCGAAAAGCAGCCCCAGCCACCUCCUAGCAGACCUCUCUGGGCGGGCUGCGCUGGGAGAGCGCCCGCCCCGCCCCCUCCACGCCGCGGCGCAGCCAUGCGGAAGCCAGGCUUCCUUGCAGGGCCGCUCACAAGCCCAGACCUCGCUUCUCCCUGAAGCCCCCAUGUCCACCCGCGAAUGCACCAGACAUGGGAACACUGGACUGGCGCCUUCCCGGAAAUCCCCAGCCCUAGUCAGGAGCAGCCCGCGGGUCAGGCUCGGGGAUCCCCUGCCCCCACUGGCCCUCCACGGUCAGGGCUGCGAGUUCCAAGGCUCCCGGAACUCCUCUUCCCUGUCUCUUCUUGAGGAUGCGAACUUCCAGGAAGCCCUCCAGGACUGCAGCUCAGCUCGGCACCACUCCAGCCACACCCCAGUUCGAUCCAGUGGAGGGGCCGCUCCCUUCUGACCCGGAAAGGAGCCUGGUGGUGAAGACACGAGACACACAACAGAUGGAGCCUGAGACCUUUAACUCCAAACCCACUCGGCCCAUAAAUGUUGCUCCUGGACCAGGGGCAGAGGCCAGGGCAGGGAGUGGGGAGGACAGUAUUUCCAUCCAGUGGCUGCUCUGUCCUCAAUCCUGGCUCCACUGGACCUGUCCACCAAAGGCCAAUCGAGAGACCCCGUCCGUGUCCGUCUCUAUACUGGGGCACAGCGUGGUGUGUUCUGCUCAUAAUGGAGCAUCAUUGGCAAUGACAUUGUGAAGUCCUGGUUUCACCACAGAUUUUGCUGACAACCACCCCAGAGUCACAGGAGAUAGGAUGUCUGUGGCACUGACUUCCUGCCCUAGGACUUCCAAGUACUGUAACCAACUGGUCCCAGGUGCACACAGUGGCGUGGGUGGGGGUUGGUCUGAUGCUGUUUCUUUGGAAGAGAUUCUGAGAUAAUGGCCACAAAGUCGCUUGACAGAUUUAAUCUUGUGCCAUGCUCUGAGGUAGAGGACUUUCUAGCAUGCAUGAGGCCCUGGAUUCAACCCCUAGUAUCAAAAAAAGAAAAGAAAACAAAACAAAAGGAGCUGCCAUUUUGACCUGGCUCACCACAAUUCUAGAAAACCUUCUCUAACCCUCCUCCUCUGCCGCUUACACCACUUAGACCAGCAGGAUGGCGUCCCCAGGGCAGCCUCCUGGUGUAACAUCCCAGCUGGCCUUAGCCCAGAAGCUCUGGCUCUGUGGUAGGCAUGGUGCUGCUUCCCGGGACUCAGCUCUGCUCCUAGCAGGGAGCUCAGGUCUGCAGCUGUGCAGGAGACAAGUCUGCUGUGGCUCCUGCUCGUGAUCCGAUCCCCCAUGAUCUGCAGUGGACCCCAGCAUCCCACACACUGGCCUCACAGAGCCUCACCUAUUCCAAGGUCCCACCUGUCCCUUGGAAGAGGACCUGUAACAUCUUGGAAUGUCACCCAAAACAGCAGACUUGCUAAGGCAGCUCUGUGGGGACACAAUUCUGCUGAGGGGAAUGGGAACCAAAACUGGCUUCCCUUCGGCAUGUGGCUGUGGCUUGUCCUCCUUUCCGCUCCCCUGAGAGCACCGUUUCCCUCUGCCCU